AUUGAACGCUGGCGGCAGGCCUAACACAUGCAAGUCGAACGGUAACAGGAAGCAGCUUGCUGCUUUGCUGACGAGUGGCGGACGGGUGAGUAAUGUCUGGGAAACUGCCCGAUGGAGGGGGAUAACUACUGGAAACGGUAGCUAAUACCGCAUAACGUCGCAAGACCAAAGAGGGGGAACUUAGAGCCUCUUGCCAUCGGAUGUGCCCAGAUGGGAUUAGCUAGUAGGUGGGGUAACGGCUCACCUAGGCGACGAUCCCUAGCUGGUCUGAGAGGAUGACCAGCCACACUGGAACUGAGACACGGUCCAGACUCCUACGGGAGGCAGCAGUGGGGAAUAUUGCACAAUGGGCGCAAGCCUGAUGCAGCCAUGCCGCGUGUAUGAAGAAGGCCUUCGGGUUGUAAAGUACUUUCAGCGGGGAGGAAGGGAGUAAAGUUAAUACCUUUGCUCAUUGACGUUACCCGCAGAAGAAGCACCGGCUAACUCCGUG
rnacentral:rRNA from 1 species